UUAGCUACAGGCUUAACACAUGCAAGUCGAGGGGCAUCAGGAAGAAAGCUUGCUUUCUUUGCUGGCGACCGGCGCACGGGUGAGUAACACGUAUCCAACCUGCCCUUUACUCGGGGAUAGCCUUUCGAAAGAAAGAUUAAUACCCGAUAGCAUAAUGAUUCCGCAUGGUUUCAUUAUUAAAGGAUUCCGGUAAAGGAUGGGGAUGCGUUCCAUUAGGUUGUUGGUGAGGUAACGGCCCACCAAGCCUUCGAUGGAUAGGGGUUCUGAGAGGAAGGUCCCCCACAUUGGAACUGAGACACGGUCCAAACUCCUACGGGAGGCAGCAGUGAGGAAUAUUGGUCAAUGGGCGCUAGCCUGAACCAGCCAAGUAGCGUGAAGGAUGAAGGCUCUAUGGGUCGUAAACUUCUUUUAUAUAAGAAUAAAGUGCAGUAUGUAUACUGUUUUGUAUGUAUUAUAUGAAUAAGGAUCGGCUAACUCCGUGCCAGCAGCCGCGGUAAUACGGAGGAUCCGAGCGUUAUCCGGAUUUAUUGGGUUUAAAGGGAGCGUAGGUGGACUGGUAAGUCAGUUGUGAAAGUUUGCGGCUCAACCGUAAAAUUGCAGUUGAUACUGUCAGUCUUGAGUACAGUAGAGGUGGGCGGAAUUCGUGGUGUAGCGGUGAAAUGCUUAGAUAUCACGAAGAACUCCGAUUGCGAAGGCAGCUCACUGGACUGCAACUGACACUGAUGCUCGAAAGUGUGGGUAUCAAACAGGAUUAGAUACCCUGGUAGUCCACACAGUAAACGAUGAAUACUCGCUGUUUGCGAUAUACAGUAAGCGGCCAAGCGAAAGCAUUAAGUAUUCCACCUGGGGAGUACGCCGGCAACGGUGAAACUCAAAGGAAUUGACGGGGGCCCGCACAAGCGGAGGAACAUGUGGUUUAAUUCGAUGAUACGCGAGGAACCUUACCCGGGCUUAAAUUGCAGUGGAAUGAUGUGGAAACAUGUCAGUGAGCAAUCACCGCUGUGAAGGUGCUGCAUGGUUGUCGUCAGCUCGUGCCGUGAGGUGUCGGCUUAAGUGCCAUAACGAGCGCAACCCUUAUCUUUAGUUACUAACAGGUUAUGCUGAGGACUCUAGAGAGACUGCCGUCGUAAGAUGUGAGGAAGGUGGGGAUGACGUCAAAUCAGCACGGCCCUUACGUCCGGGGCUACACACGUGUUACAAUGGGGGGUACAGAAGGCAGCUAGCGGGUGACCGUAUGCUAAUCCCAAAAUCCUCUCUCAGUUCGGAUCGAAGUCUGCAACCCGACUUCGUGAAGCUGGAUUCGCUAGUAAUCGCGCAUCAGCCACGGCGCGGUGAAUACGUUCCCGGGCCUUGUACACACCGCCCGUCAAGCCAUGGGAGCCGGGGGUACCUGAAGUACGUAACCGCAAGGAUCGUCCUAGGGUAAAACUGGUGACUGGG
rnacentral:rRNA from 1 species